UACGUAGGGGGCAAGCGUUAUCCGGAUUUAUUGGGCGUAAAGAGCUCGUAGGCGGCCGUUCGCGUCGGAUGUGAAAGCUCAGGCUCAACUCUGAGACGCCAUUCGAUACGGGACGGCUAGAGGUAGGUAGGGGAAAGUGGAAUUCCUGGUGUAGCGGUGAAAUGCGUAGAUAUCAGGAGGAACACCCAUGGCGAAGGCAGCAAACUGGUCCGUAUCUGACGCUGAGGCGCGAAAGCGUGGGUAGCAAACAGG
rnacentral:rRNA from 1 species